rnacentral:sRNA from 1 species
AGACAUCUUAGUUCAGGGCUCCCCUGCAGCAGCUCAGGGCUCACGCUGCCCUGUGUUCACCAGGUUUGCCUCUUCCGGAACGUUUGAGGGGUUUUCUCCAAAGAACGUGAAUUGCUUCUUUGGAUGUCAAUUCAUAGUGUAAAUGGGUGUUCAGUUUGAGUUUUUGUUUUCUUUAUUAAUUGCAAUGGAGCCCUUCUGUGGAAGAUUGAACAGAAAUCUAACCGGGCUUUUGCUUGUGGGAAAGUCACCAUCAAGGGGAAGCGGCACUGGUACGAAGCCCUGCCCCAGGCAGUGUUUGUGGCCCUGAGCGAUGACACGGCCUGGAUCAUCAGGACCAGUGGGGACCUGUACUUGCAGACAGGUCUGAGCGUGGAUCGCCCUUGUGCCAGAGCCGUAAAGGUGGACUGUCCCUAUCCGCUGUCCCAGAUCACAGCCCGGAACAAUGUGGUGUGGGCGCUGACAGAGCAGAGGGCCCUCCUGUACCGGGAGGGCGUGAGCAGCUUCUGUCCGGAAGGCGAGCAGUGGAAGUGUGACAUCGUCAGCGAAAGGCAAGCUUUAGAACCCGUCUGC